UACGUAGGUCGCAAGCGUUAUCCGGAUUUACUGGGCGUAAAGCGUCCGCAGCCUGUUUUGUAAGUCGAUUUUUAAAUCCCGGAGCUCAACUUCGGACAGGGAAUCGAUACUGCAUUACUAGAGUACUUUAGAGGUAAGUAGAAUUUCAGGUGGAGGGGUGAAAUCCGUUGAUAUCUGAAGGAAUGCCAAAAGCGAAAGCAGCUUACUAUAAUUUUACUGACGGUCCUGGACGACAGUAUGGGUAGCAAACGGG
rnacentral:rRNA from 1 species